rnacentral:rRNA from 1 species
UUAAUAAGCGGAGGAAAAGAAACUAACAAGGAUUCCCUCAGUAACGGCGAGUGAAGCGGGAAGAGCUCAAAUUUGAAAUCUCCGGUGCUUGCAUCGGCGAGUUGUAAUUGCGAGAAGCACUUUCUAGGCGGAUCGGCCGUGCCUAAGUUGCUUGGAACAGCAGGUCGCAGAGGGUGACAACCCCGUCUGUGGCUCGGCCGGCCGCUGACGAUGUGCUUUCGAAGAGUCGGGUUGUUUGGGAAUGCAGCCCAAAAUGGGUGGUAAACUCCAUCUAAAGCUAAAUACUGGCGUGAGACCGAUAGCGA